rnacentral:lncRNA from 1 species
UAGAUGAAUAGAAUGAGCAAAAGUUGCAGCACAGCGUGUCACCAGAGAGGAAAAGAAUAUCCUUGCUGUGCCAAGAAAGAAAAGACCAUGGAUCUACUAGUUGCAGAUUUCAGCAGUAAUGCCAAGGGGGCAAGAAGUGACCAGCAGAACAAUUAGGCCAUGGCAACAGAAGCCAACUACAACCCAUGUUCCAAUCUAUGACCUCCCUCUCCUGCUGGUACAAGGAUAUGAAUGUGGCUGUAGCAUCAUUUUUGGAAGCCAGAAUGGUAAUACUGAAAAUCACUGCUUGUCUCAAGAUCCAACUUCUGGAAAUCUCAACCAUUCUGAAUACAGCCAUCAUUCUUAAAAUUGAAGAGAACUGUUUUACAAGAUCUUGACUUGUAAAGAAACCAAGUUUAUUAAGGGCAAGAGCUGAUAAUCAACUGACUAAUGAGGAUUGACUUCUACAAUUGAUGAGCAUGGAAUUGGAUGUGCCUAAAUCAACAGAAGAGGGAUUUUGAUGUCAUCACACUGUAGCCCCAGAAGACAGAACGCUCAAAGGUGUCAAUGGGCAGAAUUUGUAGAUGACAUACAGCAUCCAAUGGAUUACUCCUAUUCAGUAUUCCUUAGAGCAAAGGAUGCAAUGUCAAGCAAGUUGUGAUACCUCAACUAUCUACAAUUUAACACCAAGGAAAGAACACUGUUUGGAGAAAUGAGAAAGAUUAUCAUCAGUGUCUUUCAGAAGUCAUCAAAAGAAGAAAAGGAGAAAAGAGAGGAGAAAGCAGAAAGAUCUGGAGUCUGGGAAGUUCAAGAGCAUGGCACCAACAUCUGGCAAGGGCUUUCAUUCUGCAUCAUCUCAUGGAGGAAAAUAAAAAGGAGGCUGGAUGCUCCUGUGAAGUACGUCUUUUAUCUACUUGCUAUCUUUGCAAUUCCUUCAUGCUACAAUGAGAGAUAGAGUUUAAACCUGAAAACAUUCUUGGAAAAGGAAUCUUCAUUAAUUCAAAUAUACCACAAGAUUCACCACCAUCACUACUCUAAGUAUUUUUCUUCUUGAGAAAGAGAAGGAGAGGGAAAGCAAGGAAGAGGAAGAGAAAGAGAAAUGGAUAAAAACAUGGUCAAGUAGAAGAGUCUGUGAUUUCAGGUAAAUCCAGAUUUGGAGCUUAAAUGACUCAAAUGCUUUGCCUACAUUGAUCCUACAUUCAGGCUGCUUACAUAUCUCUUGGCUUCUCUGAGAACCAGAUUGUCACCACUUAAAGUGUCUUCCAGAGUCCUCACGAGUAUCAGAGAAGGCAUAAUCUGUACACGUGGCUUCAUUUAAAAUGAAAAUAUCAAGCAGUGUCAUUUUCACAAGUAUCCCCACACUGUCUGAGGCUGAAAAGAAGAGUGUAGCUAUGCACACUGCAGUGAGAAGAAAAUUUCAGCUCAAUUGGAGGAUGUAAAGAUUGAAAUACCACUGCUCCUAGUUCUGAUGCAAAAUUGAAAAGAGUGCACUGGGUCUUCAAAUGGCAUAUUGACAAGGAGAAAGAGGAAAGGAUGCCCCAGGACAGCCUGGGGGUCAAGGCUGGGCUCAGGCAUGCCUGGACAAGCCAUGCAAGUUGUCUCCGGACUUGAACCACGUAUCAGAGGAGCUAUUUGAGGAGCCACAUCAGCAUACCUGCUUCUGUGGGCCCCCAGGCUGUGGUGCUCAGCCCUUGCACUAUGAAACAUUUUUUUUUUCCAGAAGCCAAAGCUUUGAGCAUCUCCUCCCAUGUAGAGAGUGUAUAUGUUUACGUCCAUGUCUUUCGCCAUGUGAACGCAUGCAACCACCACCUCAAAUAUCAUAAAUCCUCUCUCUCCCCCUUUCUGUCUGCCUGUUUAUCUACAAUCUGUCUAUUUAAAUUCUUUUUAAACAAGAAGGGAAUAUCUUUAUGCCUGUUUGUAGGGAUAUUCUACAUCCAUCUGUUAUUUACAUCAUUCGUUUUCCUGAGGUGUCUCCAACAAAUCCUGGCUGGAUGCACUGUAUGUGUUAUUAAUAAAACAGCUGUAAAAAU